UAAAGGAGAUGGCGGUCCUACUACAUCCGCCCUGCUUAUCCCCAUCCUUUCCAA
rnacentral:sRNA from 1 species